rnacentral:lncRNA from 1 species
UUAGGAAGAGUUAUAAGGUUAGGGGGUAUUGGCCAUUGUAUGGAUGAAGAAACAUAAACUUGGGCUAUAUGCCCAAUCCCCAAACACAUGACCCGAGUUCACAUGAGGAAACCAAGUCCACCCAACCGACACAACCCAGGUUUAGCAUGGUCGGCAAGAAAUCUUCACCAAAGCCAUGGUUCAUCCUUCCAGUUCCUCAUAUCUUAAUGUCCUAAAC